UCCCGCUUAUCACGGGCAGUUCCCCUAAAGUGCCCACCAUCACGUGCUGGCAACCAAGGGUGUGGGUUGCGCUCGUUGCCGGACUUAACCAAACAUCUCACGACACGAGCUGACGACGGCCAUGCAUCACCUGUCACUUGGCUCAAUAAAGCACUCUCUGCUUUCACAGAAAUUCCAAGGAUGUCAAACCCUGGUAAGGUCCUUCGGUUAUCAUCGAACUAAAGAACAUGAUCCGCUACUUGUGCGGUCCCCCGUCAAUUCCUUUAUGUUUUAGUCUUGCGACCGUACUCCACAGGCGGGAUACUUAACGCGUUGGCUUCGCUACUGAAGGGGUCGAUACCUCCAACAGCUAGUAUCCAUCGUUUACGGCGUGGACUAC
rnacentral:misc_RNA from 1 species